UUUACAACUCCCAAACCCCUGUGAACAUACCUUAAUGUUGCCUCGGCGGAUCAGCCCGCGCCCCGUAAAACGGGACGGCCCGCCAGAGGACCCAAACUCUAAAGUUUCUUAUCGUAACUUCUGAGUAAAACAAACAAAUAAAUCAAAACUUUCAACAACGGAUCUCUCGGUUCUGGCAUCGAUGAAGAACGCAGCAAAAUGCGAUAAGUAAUGUGAAUUGCAGAAUUCAGUGAAUCAUCGAAUCUUUGAACGCACAUUGCGCCCGCUGGUAUUCCGGCGGGCAUGCCUGUUCGAGCGUCAUUUCAACCCUCAAGCCCCCGGGUUUGGUGUUGGGGAUCGGCUCUGCCUUCUGGCGGUGCCGCCCCCGAAAUACAUUGGCGGUCUCGCUGCAGCCUCCAUUGCGUAGUAGCUAACACCUCGCAACUGGAACGCGGCGCGGCCAUGCCGUAAAACCCCAACUUCUGAAUGUUGACCUCGGAUCAGGUAGGAAUACCCGCUGAACUUAA
rnacentral:rRNA from 1 species